CACUUGGUUAUUUGGUUUACCAAGAAAAUAGCUAUGUUUUGAUUUACCAAAAAAAAAUAGCCAUUUCUCUUCUUCUUCUGCCCAUCUUCUUUUUCUUUGUUGUUUUGGUGGAGACCAAACAACCUCUGUUUUUUUCUCCUAGCUCACCCACCGAAAAGAACCCACUCAUCAGAUCCCAUUAACCAGUAAUCACGACCUUCCAUCUUCAACGAGCUUCGACGAAAUUAUCAUGAAGGACCAAUUUCGUUCACUACUUUGAUUAAGCUCCACCACCACAACACCGAUGGACUUGCCACAAACAUAAUCAGUUAUCCGCAAGCUCGUCGAAGCUCAACACCGUGUUGCUACCAGAAGGAGUUUGAGAUCGACAUCUAAAACUCGUUCGAGCGAUGUAAUGAGUCAUAAAGGAAAGAGUGAGGAUUUUGAAAUUUAUACUGG
rnacentral:lncRNA from 1 species